GAUGAACGCUGGCGGCGUGCCUAAUACAUGCAAGUCGAGCGAACGGACGAGAAGCUUGCUUCUCUGAUGUUAGCGGCGGACGGGUGAGUAACACGUGGAUAACCUACCUAUAAGACUGGGAUAACUUCGGGAAACCGGAGCUAAUACCGGAUGAUAUUUUGAACCGCAUGGUUCAAAAGUGAAAGACGGUCUUGCUGUCACUUAUAGAUGGAUCCGCGCUGCAUUAGCUAGUUGGUAAGGUAACGGCUUACCAAGGCAACGAUGCAUAGCCGACGUGAGAGGGUGAUCGGCCACACUGGAAGGGAGACACGGUCCAGACUACUACGGGAGGCAGCAGUAGGGAAUCUUCCGCAAUGGGCGAAAGCCUGACGGAGCAACGCCGAGUGAGUGAUGAAGGUCUUCGGAUCGUAAAACUCUGUUAUUAGGGAAGAACAUAUGUGUAAGUAACUGUGCACAUCUUGACGGUAACUAAUCAGAAAGCCACGGCUAACUACGUG
rnacentral:rRNA from 1 species